rnacentral:rRNA from 1 species
UACGAAGGGGGCUAGCGUUGCUCGGAAUGACUGGGCGUAAAGGGCGCGUAGGCGGUUUGGACAGUCAGAUGUGAAAUUCCUGGGCUCAACCUGGGGGCUGCAUUUGAUACGUUCGGACUAGAGUGGGGAAGAGGGUCGUGGAAUUCCCAGUGUAGAGGUGAAGUUCGUAGAUAUUGGGAAGAACACCGGUGGCGAAGGCGGCGACCUGGUCCUUGACUGACGCUGAGGCGCGAAAGCGUGGGGAGCAAACAGG